GAUGAAGAACGCAGCGAAAUGCGAUACUUGGUGUGAAUUGCAGAAUCCCGUGAACCAUCGAGUUUUUGAACGCAAGUUGCGCCCGAAGCCGUUAGGCCGAGGGCACGCCUGUCCGAGCGUCAUUUCACCCCUCGAGCCGCUUUUAGUGGAUCGGUGUUGGGGCACUACGGUAAAACGUAGGCCCUGAAAUGAAGUGGCGGUCCCGCCGCGGUGCCCCCAUGCGUAGUAACGUUUAGUCUCGCAUCGGGUCCCGGCGGAGGCCUGCCGUCAAGCCUAUUUAUUCUCAGAAUAGUUUGACCUCGGAUCAGGUAGGGUUACCCGCUGAACUUAAGCAUAUCAAUAAGCGGAGGA
rnacentral:misc_RNA from 1 species